rnacentral:lncRNA from 1 species
AGGACUCCGGAGACUGCAGCAGCGCGAGCGGCCGCCGCGGCCCGGGCUGCUCCUGGAGUCGGGGAGGAGACGCGACUCCCGCAGACACGUGACCUCCUCCCAGCCGCCGCUUCCCGCGACCCAGAUCCGUCCCCGGAACCCGUGCCCGGCGGGGCGGGCCGGGGGACACGUAGCGGGCGCCCCAGUCCCUGCUGCGCCCUGGUGCAUGUACCUUUGGCGUUCUUCUCCCCUCGGUUCACUUAUCACCGGCAAUAAUCAACGUUUCAGAGAUCACCCCGGGGAGAAUGAGCACACGCGGCCCCAAACGUCGUCAUCUGCUGCUGUGAUUAGUGGCACCGCAAUUCCGGCUGCUGCGGGGAAGUUUAGUUGGCCCAGGGACGCCGUGUCACCGAAAGACACUUGGAUUGCGACAUUCGGACCCAGUGACAACGUUUUCAUGUAUCUUAAAUCCUUCAAGGAGCGGAUUGCAAGUUGCUUCUUCUCGAGGCAACCUCUCCACCCAGCGCCAAGGAGUCCCUCCAGGCCACUGAUCACACAAUCGGUGGAAAAGCAAAAAGCCACGUUCACAUUCCUGCACCGUAACAACGGACGAACCCAGGGAGUCGCAUUUUGGAGCCAAGGAAGCUCAGGCUG